AACGAACGCUGGCGGCAUGCCUAACACAUGCAAGUCGAACGAGACCUUCGGGUCUUUUGUCGCAAGGGUGCGUAACGCGUGGGAACCUGCCCUUAGGUUCGGCCUAACUCCCCGAAAGGGGUGCUAGUACCGGAUAAUGUCUUCGGACCAAAGAUUUAUCGCCUUUGGAUGGGCCCGCGUUGGAUUAGCUAGUUGGUAGGGUAAAAGCCUACCAAGGCGACGAUCCAUAGCUGGUCUGAGAGGAUGAUCAGCCACACUGGGACUGAGACACGGCCCAGACUCCUACGGGAGGCAGCAGUGGGGAAUAUUGGACAAUGGGCGAAAGCCUGAUCCAGCAAUGCCGCGUGAGUGAUGAAGGCCUUAGGGUUGUAAAGCUCUUUUAACCGGGAUGAUAAUGACAGUACCGGGAGAAUAAGCUCCGGCUAACUACGUG
rnacentral:rRNA from 1 species